AGGAAGGCGGGCGAGGGUCUCCCUGUACGCUAAACGCGGGUGUGUCCAGCAGCGGUCCCGGCUCCGUCUCCCCCUGUGCCAUGAUCCAGGAAGAAGAAAGUGAAGAACGAAAUAAAGAUGUGAAUAGCAAUAUGGCAGACAGAGCAGAAAACUACCUUGAAUCACUGCUCAUUGAUGCUUUUAAAGGGAAGGGGUUUCAGAAAAUACACGAACUACUUCAAGAGAAGGAAGUAGAGCCUCCCCAGAAAUACAGUGAAUCUCUCUUUAACCAGCUGGACAAAGCGGUGA